GACGAACGCUGGCGGCGUGCCUAACACAUGCAAGUCGAACGGAAAGGCCCUGCUUUUGUGCGGCGCUCGAGUGCCGAACGGGUGUGUAACACGUGUGUAUCCUGCCCUUGACUUUGUGGUAACUUCAGGAAACUGGGGCUAAUAUCGCAUAGGAGCUCUUGCUGCAUGGUGGUGGUUGGUAAGAUUCGGCGGUGGGGGCUGGACUCGCGGCUUAUCGGCUUGAUGGUGGGGUAGGGGCUUACCAAGGCUUUGACGGGUAGCCGGCCUUAGAGGGUGACCGGCGACAUGGGGCCUGAGGGAGGGCCCAGAAUCGUACGUGAGGCAGUAGUGGGAAAUAUUACGGAGUGGGCGGAAGCCAGUUGCGGCAGCGCCGCGUGCGGGAUGACGUGCUUCGGGGGAUAAACAGCUUUGGCCGGUGACAAAGCGGGAGUGACGGUAAUGGGUAAAAAAGCACCGGCUAACUACGUG
rnacentral:rRNA from 1 species